GACGAACGCUGGCGGCGUGCUUAACACAUGCAAGUCGAACGGAAAGGCCCUGCUUUUGUGGGGUGCUCGAGUGGCGAACGGGUGAGUAACACGUGAGUAACCUGCCCUUGACUUUGGGAUAACUUCAGGAAACUGGGGCUAAUACCGGAUAGGAGCUCCUGCUGCAUGGUGGGGGUUGGAAAGUUUCGGCGGUUGGGGAUGGACUCGCGGCUUAUCAGCUUGUUGGUGGGGUAGUGGCUUACCAAGGCUUUGACGGGUAGCCGGCCUGAGAGGGUGACCGGCCACAUUGGGACUGAGAUACGGCCCAGACUCCUACGGGAGGCAGCAGUGGGGAAUAUUGCACAAUGGGCGGAAGCCUGAUGCGGCAACGCCGCUUGCGGGAUGACGGCCUUCGGGUUGUAAACCGCUUUCGCCUGUGACGAAGCGUGAGUGACGGUAAUGGGUAAAGAAGCACCGGCUAACUACGUG
rnacentral:rRNA from 1 species